UACGAAGGGGGCUAGCGUUGCUCGGAAUCACUGGGCGUAAAGCGCACGUAGGCGGCUUUUUAAGUCAGGGGUGAAAUCCUGGAGCUCAACUCCAGAACUGCCUUUGAUACUGAGAAGCUCGAGUCCGGGAGAGGUGAGUGGAACUGCGAGUGUAGAGGUGAAAUUCGUAGAUAUUCGCAAGAACACCAGUGGCGAAGGCGGCUCACUGGCCCGGUACUGACGCUGAGGUGCGAAAGCGUGGGUAGCGAACAGG
rnacentral:rRNA from 1 species